rnacentral:rRNA from 1 species
GAUACCCCUGUAGUCCUGGCCGUAAACGAUGAACACUAGGUGUCGGGGGAAUCGACCCCCUCGGUGUCGUAGCCAACGCGUUAAGUGUUCCGCCUGGGGAGUACGCACGCAAGUGUGAAACUCAAAGGAAUUGACGGGGGCCCGCACAAGCGGUGGAGUAUGUGGUUUAAUUCGGUGCAACGCGAAGAACCUUACCAGGGUUUGACAUCCUGCGAACCUCUGAGAAAUCGGAGGGUGCCUUCGGGAACGCAGAGACAGGUGAUGCAUGGCUGUCGUCAGCUCGUGUCGUGAGAUGUUGGGUUAAGUCCCGCAACGAGCGCAACCCACGUCGUUAGUUGCCAGCAUUCAGUUGGGCACUCUAGCGAGACCGCCGGUGAUAAACCGGAGGAAGGUGUGGAUGACGUCAAGUCAUCAUGCCCCUUACAUCCUGGGCUACACACGUACUACAAUGCUACGGACAAAGGGCAGCGAGCUCGCGAGAGUAAGCAAAUCCCAUAAACCGUGGCUCAGUUCAGAUCGUAGGCUGCAACUCGCCUACGUGAAGGAGGAAUCGCUAGUAAUCGCAGGUCAGCAUACUGCGGUGAAUACGUUCCCGGGCCUUGUACACACCGCCCGUCACACCAUGGAAGUUGGCCAUGCCCGAAGUCGUUACUCCAACCCUUGUGGAGGAGGACGCCGAAGGUGGGGCUGAUGACUGGGGUGAAGUCGUAACAAGGUAGCCGUACCGGAAGGUGC